rnacentral:lncRNA from 1 species
UUGUCCUCUCUCCAGCUCGACUCAACUCCCUGCCUUUCCCCGCGGCCGGGAGCAGGCUGGAGCAGCCGUAACRCGAGGCUGCCGGCUCUGCGCAGUGUCUGCGGAGCGAGCUGGACAGAAGGUGGCAAGCGGCUGUAGUCCAACCGCUCGUCCGAGUGAAGAGCAAUUCCUGCCGAGAGUCUGGGCUUCAAGAUCAGUCUCCUUCAGCUUACGGUCACUUCGUGGAGGUAUGUUUAAUGACAAGCACCCCGCGGUCCCCGGCGGAGCGGGGAGCCCUGCUGCUUCCCUCCGUCCGUCCUGCCACCCAGCCCUUCUGCGUACCCAAAGGAAGCGUCACGGCGGUGCCUGCCGCCGAACAACCCCRGGUAAAGAGUUUGUAAUUGGAAUCAAAUCCAUCGCCUGCGGAUCAGUGCCUGCUGCUUAGCAUUCAUUAAAAAUACCCAUUGCCCCCAUGACCUCAUCAGACCCGAUUCGAGGGGAAUGGCUCCACGGCGCUGUGCCUGGGUGUUUCUGGCCAUGAAG